GCGGCGUGAUUACAAACCGGACGUCUGAAAGUCAACCGACCGCAGAGUCGAUGUGGACCCUUGUCCCCCGUGGCUGAGUG
rnacentral:snoRNA from 1 species